CAUGGUUUUCACAGAAGGAGAUAUGCCAAAUAUAUCUGGACUUUGAUAUUACUUAAUGUUUACUCUGUGUGCCUGCUAUUAUUAGACACUGCGUAUACCUUUACAAAAGUGUUAUUCAUUUUCUGCAGUUUGAACAACCCGGAUCACCAGCCUCUAUUACUCAAGGCACUGGCAGCCAGAUGCACACCGGGCCGCACAGGGACAAAUGUGUGGCCAAAACCUUGGGGACUGAACAGAGAAGAGCUGGACUGAUCUAAUCAACUCAGCCAUCGCCGAUGCCCAGCUGUAACAUGGAUACCCAACACCUUAAGGAAGGAUAACAGAAGGUACUUGAGUCGACACAAGAGGAAGCCAAUGUCUGCAGAACAAGAAAAACAGCUCAUCGGUCCGUGAAGAAUGAUCACGGUCACCUUCGCAAUACAUCACAGGCGACAGGCAGAUUACUUAGAUAUGGAUGUCAGCCGAGAGGACUGACACUUUUCUGAGUAAAGAGCCCGUACAUCCAGCACUAGAGAACAUAUCCUUGCCCUGUGUGCAGAGUAAGCAAGCAAUUAGCUAAGAGUUGAGUUUAUUACUCCAGCUGGUCUGUUCACCCUUCAAGUGUUGUUUGCAACAGGCAGAAAGUUUACUACAGAUAAGCGUCAUUCAGGAUUGACUGCAAACACCUUCUUUUGGAAUACAUUUCACCGGAGGGCUGUACAUUAACACUUUGGUUUUGGAAAUGUUGUUGGCGGUUCAUUUCUCCUGUUAAAACACCCAGC